CCUACGGGAGGCAGCAGUGGGGAAUAUUGGACAAUGGGGGGAACCCUGAUCCAGCCAUGCCGCGUGUGUGAAGAAGGCCUUAUGGUUGUAAAGCACUUUAAGCGAGGAGGAGGCUACUUUAGUUAAUACCUAGAGAUAGUGGACGUUACUCGCAGAAUAAGCACCGGCUAACUCUGUGCCAGCAGCCGCGGUAAUACAGAGGGUGCGAGCGUUAAUCGGAUUUACUGGGCGUAAAGCGUGCGUAGGCGGCUUAUUAAGUCGGAUGUGAAAUCCCCGAGCUUAACUUGGGAAUUGCAUUCGAUACUGGUGAGCUAGAGUAUGGGAGAGGAUGGUAGAAUUCCAGGUGUAGCGGUGAAAUGCGUAGAGAUCUGGAGGAAUACCGAUGGCGAAGGCAGCCAUCUGGCCUAAUACUGACGCUGAGGUACGAAAGCAUGGGGAGCAAACAGGAUUAGAUACCCUUGUAGUC
rnacentral:rRNA from 1 species